rnacentral:rRNA from 1 species
AGCAGCCGCGGUAAUUCCAGCUCCAAUAGCGUAUAUUAAAGUUGCUGCAGUUAAAAAGCUCGUAGUUGAAUUUCGGGACUAAUAUGUCGGUCGUGCCUCGGUACGUACUGGCUUAUUGGUUUCUCCUUUCUGAAGAACCAUGAUGUCAUUUAUUUGGUGUCGUGGGGAAUCAGGACUGUUACUUUGAAAAAAUUAGAGUGUUUAAAGCAGGCUCACGCUUGAAUACAUUAGCAUGGAAUAAUGAAAUAGGACGUUUGAUUCUAUUUUGUUGGUUUCUAGGAUCGACGUAAUGAUUAAUAGGGAUAGUUGGGGGCAUUAGUAUUCAAUUGUCAGAGGUGAAAUUCUUGGAUUUAUUGAAGACUAACUACUGCGAAAGCAUUUGCCAAGGAUGUUUUCAUUAAUCAAGAACGAAAGUUAGGGAUCGAAGACGAUCAGAUACCGUCGUAGUCU